UUACUAGCAAUAGAAGAGAAGGAUUAAUGGCAGGAUGCUACAAACAUGCAAAGGAUUGCGGGUAAAGGAUUGCGGGUUAGGAUAACCAUUAAAAGGAUAAGUUUUCAAGGACGAAGCAAGGAGCACUACUUUUAGCUGGAUUGCUAUAAAACGAACCCGAAGGCACUGUUCAACAGUGCCUUCUUCGUCAGUG
rnacentral:other from 1 species